GUGGAGCCAUCCUUGAAAUACCACCCUGUCGUGCUUGACGUUCUAACCUAGAUCCGUUAUCCGGAUCAGGGACCGUGUAUGGUGGGUAGUUUGACUGGGGCGGUCUCCUCCUAAAGAGUAACGGAGGAGCACGAAGGUACGCUCAGCGCGGUCGGACAUCGCGCACUGUGUGCAAAGGCAUAAGCGUGCUUGACUGCAAGAUCGACGGAUCAAGCAGGUACGAAAGUAGGUCUUAGUGAUCCGGUGGUUCUGUAUGGAAGGGCCAUCGCUCAACGGAUAAAAGGUACUCCGGGGAUAACAGGCUGAUACCGCCCAAGAGUUCAUAUCGACGGCGGUGUUUGGCACCUCGAUGUCGGCUCAUCACAUCCUGGGGCUGUAGUCGGUCCCAAGGGUAUGGCUGUUCGCCAUUUAAAGUGGUACGCGAGCUGGGUUCAGAACGUCGUGAGACAGUUCGGUCCCUAUCUGCCAUGGGCGUUGGAAGUUUGAGAGGGGCUGCUCCUAGUACGAGAGGACCGGAGUGGACGAACCUCUGGUGUUCCGGUUGUCACGCCAGUGGCAUUGCCGGGUAGCUAUGUUCGGAAGCGAUAACCGCUGAAAGCAUCUAAGCGGGAAGCGCGCCUCAAGAUGAGACUUCCCGGGGCACAAGCCCCCUAAAGGAACCAUGUAGACUACGUGGUUGAUAGGUCAGGUGUGUAAGUACAGCAAUGUAUUGAGCUAACUGAUACUAAUGAUCCGUGCGGCUUGACCAU
rnacentral:rRNA from 1 species